UUCGCCACUAAUAUGUGCUGAAUCUUUCAUUCCCGCUAACGGAAAAAUUUUGACUCCAAAGUUUUAGUGGCAACUCUGAAGUAGUCGCCUCUGAAGGGAUUCUGUGGCGACUAGGUCGCCUCUAAAUCUCGGCUUUGAAAAAUAAAAAACUAAACAAGUCCUAAUUGAAAAGAAGGAAGCACAGCCGUAUCUUUCUUUGCUCUGUUUCUCUCUCGAAAUUUCUCCAUUUUUUCUCAUCUCAAAUUUGUCAAAUUCCGCUCCCAAAAUGUGAAUCAUAUGUUAGAGACCCAAAAUCCUUAAUCACUAAUUGUGACUCCAUCAGGAAUAGCAAUAAAUUCAUACAGGAACAGUCAUGUAAAGCUCUUAUCUGUGAGGAAUCGACGGAUUACCUAUUUUGUGAUUCUCGAUCUUAACAGUCAUUUCUCAGCUCUCUCUUUCUCCGGGAAAUGUUGAACUCACAAAAGUAUCCGAUUCAGUAUUGAGAAGUACACAAUUGGAAAAGAGAUAUCGAAGGCUAGGGUUUAGACAAUGUAUUUUGUAUUAAUUAUUAAAAGUAAUUAAACAAGAAUAUGCUCUCAUGUACAUGCAGCGGCGGACCCACGUAGGAUCAAGUGGGUUCAACUGAACCCGCUUCUGUAAUGACUCGGUCGGUCGUUUCAAGUAUUACAACUUCGUCUCCUCA